rnacentral:rRNA from 1 species
GACGAACGCUGGCGGCGUGCUUAACACAUGCAAGUCGAACGAUGAAACCCAGCUUUCUGGGUUGUUUAGUUGCGAACGGGUGAGUAACACGUGAGCAACGUGCCCGAGACUCUGGAAUAACUACCGUAAACGGUGGCUAAUACUGGAUAUGUGCUAGGUAGGCAUCUCCUCUUGUUUGAAAGAUUUUUCGUUUUCGGAUCGGCUCACGGGCUAUCAGCUUGUUGUUGGGGUAAUGGCCUACCAAGGCGACGGCGGGUAGCCGGCCCGAGAGGGUGAACGGCCACACGGGGACUGCGACACGGAGCAGAAUCCAACGGGAGGCAGCAGUGGGGAAUAUUGCACAAUGGGGCCACGCCUGAUGCAGAAAUGCCGCGUGCGGGAUGACGGCCUACGGGUUGUAAACAUCUUUUAGUAGGGAAGAAGAGGAAGUGACGGUACCUGAAGAAAAAGCACCGGCUAACUACGUG